rnacentral:antisense_RNA from 1 species
UUUUGCACCACAUGAUAUUUAUCGAUGACGAUACAGGCCUCUGGGAAUAUAGAUUUAACAGCUUUUUGGAAGGGAUCCCACAUAUCCAUAACAACGGUAUGAACACAUUUAUUAGACAGAAUCUUCUUGGUAAGUAAGAUCUGAGUUGAAUUAUAACUCCGUUGAUGUUCCAUACCAAGCACACUCCCGGAUUGGGUAUCCAAAAGAACUGUUUCAUAUCGGUGACCCUUUCGGACAGCGAUCUCAUCAAGGCUAAGGAUUAAUUCAUUGUCUUCUAAAACACUUUCAAGAGUUUCUAAAUGCUCCUUCUCUUUUUCUUUAGCACGGAACUGUUGUAUAAGGUAUUUUUUCCUUUCGACUCACUUCUUGGAUAGUGGAGCCAAUGCACAUUUCGUACAGAUAUUCUCUGUACCGAUUGGUCUGAUGCUUAUUAGGACUGAUAGAUUCAAAUGUUUGUGAAAAUACCUCAUUACAGUUGUGACAACGGUAUCUAUUCACUCUGACAAAUAAGAAAAGGGGCUUACCUAAUACGGACAAGUCACGAACUUUUCUUGUCCGCCAGUCAUGGACAUGACUAGAAAAAAACCGCAGUAAGAACAACGUUCUUCUGUAGUAU